UACGUAGGGGGCAAGCGUUGUCCGGAUUUAUUGGGCGUAAAGAGCGUGUAGGCGGUUUGGUAGGUCCGCUGUGAAAACUCGAGGCUCAACCUCGAGACGCCGGUGGAAACCAUCAGACUAGAGUCCGGAAGAGGAGAGUGGAAUUCCUGGUGUAGCGGUGGAAUGCGCAGAUAUCAGGAGGAACACCAAUAGCGAAGGCAGCUCGCUGGGACGGUACUGACGCUAAGGCGCGAAAGCGUGGGGAGCGAACAGG
rnacentral:rRNA from 1 species